GACGAAGGGGGCUAGCGUUGUUCGGAAUUACUGGGCGUAAAGCGCGUGUAGGCGGUUGUUCAAGUCCGGUGUGAAAGCCUUGAGCUCAACUCAAGAAAUGCACUUGAUACUGGAUGACUAGAGGACCGGAGAGGAUAGUGGAAUUCCCAGUGUAGUGGUGAAAUACGUAGAGAUUGGGAAGAACACCAGUGGCGAAGGCGGCUAUCUGGACGGUUUCUGACGCUAAGACGCGAAAGCGUGGGGAGCAAACAGG
rnacentral:rRNA from 1 species